AUUCCAAUAAUAAUAAUAAUAAUAAUAAUAAUAAUAAUAAUAAUAAUAAUAAGGUGGCAGGUGCCACCUUGACGUGGUGGGGGGGCUUACCUGCUCCAAUGAUGACUGAGGGCUGUGCUGGCGGUAGUGUAACUACCGGCAGGUCCAACCAAGCCAGAGAGGCCUCAGCUGAGGAGCAGAACUAAGAGCACCUAACCCAUUAGCAUUAUGGAGAAAAAACCCAAACGAAGUCUAUACUGGCUCGGUCGUCGCCCAGGAUAAAAAGGAUGCUGCUGAUUCUGGACAUCCAUCGACAAGUGGGCUAUGGAAUCAUCAAAACCCAAAUGAACAGUCACAGAAGCGGCAGAAAUACACAAUGCCAGAAAACCGCACAAUUAUGAAAUGCUAUUACAAAUCUGAACUUCAAAGGCGUGGCUACCAAAAAAGGAUGCAUCAACUGUGGAAACAAGAGUAUCCUGACUCACAGAUAACAGAACCCCGACUGGCUGACCAACGAAGAUUCAUAAUCAGAAACAAAGUGUUCAGUGAAGUUGAACUUGAAGAAAUCCAGAAAAUUUGCAAAGUAAAUCACCAUCAGACCACAGCACAGACAGCAGCAGAGACUCCAGCAACACUUGGAAUGGUGGAACAGAUUGAACCAGAAGAAAGAGUGGAGCUUUUGCAAGAAUUUGAAGAACCAGCACUUGAAACACCCGUUGAACCACCAGGAACCUUGACAGCAAGACAACAAGAGCUCAAGGAUAAGAUCGUGGCUCAUGCUGCAGCAAAUGCAAUAAGAAAGCUGCUCCCCACUCUAAAAACAGUGCCCAAGAGACAACUGGCGCCUCUCAUGAAAGAUGUGAAUGCAGCACUCUCCACUGUCCAAAUAACAUCAAUUGAACAAACAAACCAGUAUGCCUACAGUGCAGCAGUGAUAGUAACAGAAGAGCUUGGGCUCCUACAACCAAGGCAGCCCCAAAGAAAAUCGACUGGAAAACCAAAGUGGAAGGUCAGGCUGGAGUUGAAAAUCAAAAAGCUUAGAUCAGAUGCAAGUAACCUGAAAAAUAUGAAAGAGAAGAAACUGAAGAAUGACAAAAUCAAGCAAUACCUGAUCCGAAAGUACUGGCUGAACACCAGAAAAAUUGAAGAAGCUUUGGAGAUCGUGAAAGAACAAAUUACAGCAACAGCCAGAAAAAUUGAAAGGUAUGAAGCCAGAAUCAUCCAGUACAGACAAAAUCAACUGUUUCAAUCAGACCAAAGACGGUUCUACCAGAGUCUGAACCAAACAACAGACACAGUAACCAUAAAACCAGAGAAAACUGCAACAACGAAGUUCUGGAAAGAACUUUGGGAAAACAAUAAAAACUACAACAAAAACGCUGGGUGGAUAAAGGAGUUUGAAGGAAAAUUCUCACAGAACAAAAUGGAACUGAUGGAAAUAACAACUGAAAUGAUCAGCAAACGAGUGCAAAAAGUCAAGAACUGGACAUCGCCUGGUAGUGAUCAACUUCAUGGAUUUUGGCUCAAACAUCUGAUUAGUUUACAUGGAAAAAUGGCCCAACAAUCUGAGAUGCUGCAGAAAGGAAGUAUCAGUGAAUGGCUAACAACUGGAAGAACAUACCUGAUACAAAAGGAUCCAACAAAAGGAGCAGCACCAGGAAACUACAGGCCAAUAACAUGUCUGCCCACUAUGUUUAAACUACUGACUGGCAUCAUAGCUGACAGAAUUCAAGACUAUCUUGAAGAAAAAAACAUCUUGCCAGAUGAACAGAAAGGCAACAAACGGAAAAGCAGGGGCACAAAAGACCAGUUAUUGAUUGACAAAAUGAUUCUGGAGAACUGUAAGAGCCGAAAAGCUAAUCUUCACAUGACGUGGAUUGACUACAAAAAGGCCUUUGACUCACUCCCACACAGCUGGAUCAUCAAGUGCCUGGACGCCAUCGGGAUUUGUAAAAACGUUGGCACCUUCAUUGAAAACAUGAUGGAGCACUGGAAAACUGAACUGUUUGUUGGAAAUGAAAGCUAUGGACUUGUCAACAUCAGAAGAGCAGGGACACAAAAGACCAGUUAUUAAUUGACAAAAUGAUUCUGGAGAACCGCAAAAGCCGAAAAGCUAAUCUUCACAUGACGUGGAUUGACUACAAAAAGGCCUUUGACUUACUCCCACACAGCCGGAUCAUCAAAUGCCUGGACGCCAUUGGGAUUUGUAAAAACGUUGGCAUUUUAUUGAAAACAUGAUGGAGCACUGGAAAACUGAACUGUUUGUUGGUAAUGAAAGCUAUGGACUUGUCAACAUCAGAAAAACAAGAAAACUCAUGACCAUUCAUCAUUCACUGCACCCUCGCAGUGAUGUUGACCAGCUAUAUCUGCCUAGAAGAUCUGGUGGCAGAGGAUUCUUACAAGUAAAAUAAGCAUUCAAAGAAGAAGAACAUGCCCUGGCAGAAUAUGUAAAGCAAAGUGAAGAACCUGCUUUGAUUGAAGUAAAGAAUCAGAAACUCCUCAAAGCAUAACAGACAAGGAAUCAGUACAAAAAAACUGCACUACAAACUAGAGCUGACAGCUGGCACAAAAAAAAAACAUUGCAUGGAAAGUUCCUUGACAAAAUUGAAGGAAAAGCUGAUAAGGAGAAGACCUGGCUAUGGCUCAUGAAUGGGACCCUGAAGAAGGAGACAGAAGGUCUGAUCCUUGCAGCCCAGGAGCAAGCCAUCAGAACAAAUGCAAUUAAGGCCAAGAUCGAAAAAUCAGGUGAUGACCCAAAAUGCAGACUGUGCAAGGAAACAGACGAAACCAUUGAUCAUAUCCUCAGCUGCUGUAAGAAAAUUGCACAGACAGACUACAAACAGAGGCACAACUACCGUGUUCCCCCAAAAAUAAGACAGUGUCUUAUAUUAAUUUUUGCUCCCAAAGAUGCUCUAGGUCUUAUUUUCAGGGGAUGUCUCCCAUUAAGAAGAAUUCACAUUUAUUGUUGAACAAAAAAAAAAAAGAACAUUUAUUAUAUACUGUACAGUAGUUGUCAUCACAAACCAGCAUAACUAGACAAACUGUGACUCCUAUCAAGAAUUUCUUGUUACUACCAAAAUUUCCAUGUACAACAAUCUAUGGUAUGUACAUUUACCGAUCCUGCAUGCUCUGGUGUUCUGUUCGGCAGGCAUGCUCCCAAACAAAAACUUUGCUAGGUCUUACUUUCACGGGAGGCCUUAUAUUUAGCAAUUCAGCAAAACAUCUACUAGGUCUUAUUUUCUGAGGAUGUCUUAUUUUAGGGGAAACAGGGUAUGUGGCCCAAAUUAUUCAUUGGAACUUAUGCCUCAAUACCACCUCCCAGCAGUAAAGAACUAGUGGGACCUGCAAAGGUAAUGGAAAAUGAACACGCAAAGAUACUGUGGGACUUUCGAAUCCAGACUGACAAAGUUCUAAAACACAACACACCAGACAUCACAGUUGUGGAAAAGAAAAAGGGUUGGAUCAUUGAUGUUGCCAUCCCAGGUGACAGUCGGAUUGAUGAAAAACAAGAGGAAAAACUCAGCCACUAUCAGGACCUCAAGAUCGAACUGCAAAGACUCUGGCAGAAACCAGUACAGGUGGUCCUGGUGGUGGUUGGCACACUGGGUGCUGAGCCAAAAGAUCUCAGCCAGCAUUUGGAAACAAUAGACAUUGACAAAAUUACGAUCUGUCAACUGCAAAAGACCACCUUACUGGGAUCUGCGCGCAUCAUCC
rnacentral:lncRNA from 1 species